UACGUAGGGUGCAAGCGUUGUCCGGAAUUAUUGGGCGUAAAGAGCUCGUAGGCGGCUUGUCGCGUCGGCUGUGAAAACCUGGGGCUCAACCCCAGGCCUGCAGCCGAUACGGGCAAGCUAGAAUUCGGUAGGGGAGACUGGAAUUCCUGGUGUAGCGGUGAAAUGCGCAGAGAUCAGGAGGAACACCGAUGGCGAAAGCAGGUACCUGGACCAUUACUGACGCUCAGCUGCGAAAGCUAGGGGAGCAAACAGG
rnacentral:rRNA from 1 species